CAGACUUCGAAAUCAGAUUCUACACAAAGUCCACAUGGAUGUCCGCUCCCGUCCAAGACCCAUCCUUCCAGAAAGCCACUAAAAUUUCCACAGACUGUUCCAGUACAUCCAAGGUGCCAAUCUGAAUUGGUCACGAAUCGCCAUGACUGCUCCUGUUUUGACAAGCAUUGUCCCUGGGGCUGGCCCCCUUCACUCGUCCUCUUAUUUUGUUCAACUCUAUCUGCCAGUUAAGUUUCAAGCUACACCACCUCUUCCCCUUCCUGAACUGGACCUAAAGCCCUUUGGUUGGGACGCUCAUUGUGUUGCAGUUAGAAAGUUCUCUGGAUUUGCAAGGGAUGAGAAGGUCAUAAAGGAGGCAGAGAAGCUUGCUACCAGCUUGAGUAGGUUCCCCUUGGCUAAUUCCACCUCUGAAAGGGGCUAUGCAUAUGCCAUUGCCAGUACAACUCUCCUUUCCGGAUGAUUGGACGAGUUAAUGAAGUCUGGGUCGACGUCGAUGCAGCGGAUUUGGAUGGUUGUAAAUCCAGUGUCAUUGCUGCAUUCUAAGUUUGCAGUGGUGCGGAAAAGAGAAUCAAGUUUCACUUUGUGCAUAUAAAGUUUGCUGGACAUGUACGUAUUUCAAUUUCGGUUACAUGCUGCUUUGUAUCUAUGUAAACAAGUCUACUACAUAAGAUGGGAACUCUACGAUUAUAGGGUCCUGAAAACUUCAACAAAA